AUGACGGAGGAGCCUCGGCGUCGGCUGCCCGGCGAGGAAGCACCAGGCUAUGGGCCUUUUGAUGGUCGUUUUACUGUCCAAAUACACCACAAAGGUUUCUUUUGUGGUAAUGGAAGCAAUAUGACAUAUCUUGACUAUGAAGUGGAUUGGUUUGACAAUUGUGAUAGUGACACUUGGUCUAUACUAUGGAUUGAUGACUUCCUGAAGCAGUUGAGCUAUGAUAGAGGUGUUUCCAAGCAUGACAUAUAUUGGUGUCAACCUGGCAAAUCAAUAGAAGAUGGUCUGAAGCAGAUUACAUGUGAUGCUGACAUACUGUUAAUGAUUGGUGCAACAAUUGAGCACAAAAAUUUGCUCCUCAUUAUUGACCAUGGUGAUACACUAGAAACUCUUACUGGAGAUGAUGUUAUGGCAUAUGGAGUUCCUGAAUUGCCCAAGGUUAUCAGUACAAUCAAAGACAGCAAGGGGAAACAAAAUGUUAGCUUUAUAGAAGAGACCAUUUUCACAGAAUUUGCUAACAAUCCAAAACAGAAGAGAGGAAAAAGAGCUAGGAGGUCUGUUUCAUUUGGUGAAGGUUGUAGUUCCUCAGGAGCUGGUGUCGGCGAUGAAGAAUUUGAAGAAGGACGGCUGAGUAGUGAUACAGAUCAACAAGAUGCAGGCACUGAAGAAGAAACUGAUGAGGAAUUUCAUGAUAGUGACUUUGAACCGGAUGUGGGGGAUGAUGAUUUGUUUGACGAGAAUGUGGACAAGGAUGUGGAUGAUCACAGAGAGAGGGAGUUCAUAGCUGACAUAGAAGCAGAACUUCCAGAAGAUGCACUUGAUGACUCUCACUUGGAUCUGUCCAAAGAAGAGAAGGAGAAGUUAAAGUACAAUUUCAGAACAUUUAACUCAGCUACUGAUUUGAAUGCACCAACCUUCAGGCUUGGAAUGGUUUUUGCUGACAUGAAGGAACUGAGACUUGCAGUAAGUGCCUACAGUGUUAGAAACAGAGUGAAGCUGAAGAAGACAAGGAAUACUGCAACUAUAUUAGUUGUAGUGUGCAAACCAGGAUGCUCUUGGCAAUUGAAGGCAGGCAAGGACAACAGGACAAAUAGCAUCCUCAUAAAGAAGUUUAAUGGAGUACACACAUGCACCAAGGCUUGGGAUCUGAAGGUGUUGACUGCACCUUUUCUGACUAGAAAAUUCAAAGAAGAAUUCAGAGACAAUGAGAAAAUGUCUCUGAAGAAAUUUCAAGAUAAAGUACAGGUUGAAUACAACAUGAUUCCAAAGAGAAGCAAGCUAGGAAGGGCAAGAAGGGCAGCAGUUAGGGAUAUUAGGGGUGAGGAUGAUGACCAAUACAAGUGGCUCUGGGAUUAUGGGCAGGAGCUAAGAAGAAGCAACCCUGGAAGUACAUUUUUCCUUUGCACAAAGAAAUUGACUGAUGAGAAAACUAAAGUGACAAGAGACCAUUUCUCCACUCUUUAUUGGUCACUGGAUGCUUGUAAGAGAGGGUGGCUUGCUGGUUGUAGAGCCAUCAUUUUUUUGGAUGGUUGUCAUAUAAAGACCAGGUACAAGGGGAACAUGUUGACAGCUGUAGGCAUUGACCCCAAUGAUUGUAUAUUUCCCAUAGCCUUUGGUUUGUGUGAAGUGGAGUGUACUAGCAGCUGGGAAUGGUUCUUAGCAUCUUUGAAGGGUGAUCUUAAUAUAUGCAACUCAUCAUCCUACACAAUCAUGAGUGACAAGCAAAAGGGUUUAAUAAAUGUUGUGCAGAAGGUAUUCCCACAUGCAGAACACAGAUUUUGUGUAAGGCAUUUAUAUCAAAAUUUCCACAAAGUGCAUAAAGGUGAGCAGUUGAAGAAUGAUCUUUGGUCGAUAGCAAGAUCCACCAAUGACAUUGCAUAUCAGAAGAAUAUGGACCAGAUAAAAUCACAUAGUGAGGGUGCUUACAAUUGGGUUGAGAAACAGGCUCCAAGAACAUGGAUAAAGGCCUUUUUUAACCCAUUCCCCAAGUGUGAUAUAUUGCUUAACAACAUGUCAGAGGUUUUCAACAGUUACAUACUUGAGGCAAGAGAACUACCAGUUGUGUCAGCAUUGGACAACAUGCACAUCAAAUUAACCAACAGAAUUGUUAGCAAGCAGAGAGAGUCGGACAAGUGGACGGGGAGACUUUGCCCAAAGAUCCAGAAGAAGUUGGACAAGUUUGUUGGGUGGGCAGCUAAUUGUAUGGUCCAAGAAGCUGGUCAAGGGGUUUUCCAGGUAAAAUCCUUCAACAACACAUACUUGGUGGAUCUCAACAUGAACAACUGCGACUGUAAAAGGUGGGAGUUGUCUGGAAUACCAUGUCAUCAUGUUGUUGCAUGUGCUAGGCAUGAAAGAAUAGAGCCUGAAAGCUUGGUGCAUCCAUGUUAUACUGUUGAUAACUACAAGAAGGCCUAUGCCUACAACAUAAUGCCAUUGAGGGACAAAGGUCACUGGGAAAAAAUGCAUGGAAUUGAUGUGUACCCACCACUGUACACUAAAGUGAUGGGAAGGCCCAAGAAAAGCAGAAAGAAAGACCCAGAAGAGAAGAAAGACAAGAAUGGAGGGAUAAAGCUUACCAAGGCAGGGUCCACCAUGCACUGCUCUAUAUGUAAAGCAGCUGAUCAUAACAAGAAAGGUCACCACAAGCAUGUCAAUGACAUUCAAAAUGAGCAGGCAGCAAAACAAGCAGAGGAAGAUUUUGAUGACCCUAGCCUCAUUGCCAACAUAAUGCCACAUACUGUCAGGCCAUUUCUUGAUCCAACACAAACUCCUGACUCUAUGGUUUUCAUGAUGCAGGAGCAGGAGAGGUUUGCAUAUCCACCUGUUAGAGACUUUGGUCCUCUACCAGAGUCAAGUUUCAUAGCAAAUGCUAGAGAAGAAAUUCCUCCUCCCAGAAUGACAACAACAAUGACAAGUGGUAGGAUCAGAAGAGGUGGAACUACUGCAUGUGGAGCAAGAGGUGGAAAUGCUGCAUCUGGAGCAAGAGGUGCAGGGCACAAUGCAAGAGGAGGAGGAGGGCACAAUGCUAGAGGAGGGAAUACUACAGGAGGAGGUGGCGGCCACAAUGCUAGAGGACGAGGGAAUGUCGCAAGAGGCCACAAUGCUAGAGGACGAGGGAAUGUCGCAAGAGGACGAGGAGAUGUCGCAAGAGGACGAGGAGGCCACAAUGCUACAGGAGCAAAUGUGGCAAGAGGAGCAAGAGCUGCAGCUCCUGGCUUCUACAACCUCGUUUUUGGACAUGAUGGAGCUAGCAGAACUUGGACUGAAGCAGCAAAUUUCAUGCAGGCCGAGGAAGAAGUUCUGAUAACUCAGAAUGCACCUGAUGAUGGAUGGCCCGACGAUUUCCUAUCCAUGUGA
rnacentral:rRNA from 1 species